rnacentral:rRNA from 1 species
AGAGUUUGAUCCUGGCUCAGGAUGAACGCUGGCGGCGUGCCUAACACAUGCAAGUCGAGCGGCAGCGAAGGGUGCUUGCACCCUGUCGGCGAGCGGCGGACGGCUGAGUAACGCGUGGGAACGUGCCCCAAAGUGAGGAAUAACUGCCCGAAAGGGUAGCUAAUACCGCAUAUUAUCUUCGGAUCAAAGGAUUUAUCCGCUUUGGGAGCGGCCCGCGUCGGAUUAGGUAGUUGGUGAGGUAAUGGCUCACCAAGCCGACGAUCCGUAGCUGGUCUGAGAGGAUGACCAGCCAGACUGGAACUGAGACACGGUCCAGACUCCUACGGGAGGCAGCAGUGAGGAAUCUUCCACAAUGGGCGAAAGCCUGAUGGAGCAACGCCGCGUGCAGGACGAAGGCCUUCGGGUUGUAAACUGCUUUUAUAAGUGAGGAAUAUGACGGUAACUUAUGAAUAAGGAUCGGCUAACUACGUGCCAGCAGCCGCGGUCAUACGUAGGAUCCGAGCGUUAUCCGGAGUGACUGGGCGUAAAGAGUUGCGUAGGCGGUUGUAUAAGUGAAUAGUGAAAUCUGGUGGCUCAACCAUACAGGCUAUUAUUCAAACUGUACAACUCGAGAGUGGUAGAGGUCACUGGAAUUUCUUGUGUAGGAGUGAAAUCCGUAGAUAUAAGAAGGAACACCGAUGGCGUAGGCAGGUGACUGGACCAUUUCUGACGCUAAGGCACGAAAGCGUGGGGAGCGAACCGGAUUAGAUACCCGGGUAGUCCACGCCGUAAACGAUGGAUACUGGCUGUUGGAGGUAUCGACCCCUUCAGUAGCGAAGCUAACGCGUUAAGUAUCCCGCCUGUGGAGUACGGCCGCAAGGCUAAAACAUAAAGGAAUUGACGGGGAC